UCUGCUGCCUGGAGUGAGUGCUGCAGCAGGGACACAGGAUGAGUCACUGGAGGCCAGGGAAGCUCAGCUGCUACAGCUGUGAC